rnacentral:rRNA from 1 species
AUAGCGUAUAUUAAAGUUGUUGCGGUUAAAAAGCUCGUAGUUGGAUCUCAGUUCCAGACGGGUGGUCCGCCUACCGGUGGUUACUGCCUGUUCUGAACAGCCAGCCGGUUUCUCUUGAUGAUCUUCACCGGUUGUCUUGGGUGACCGGCAAGUUUACUUUGAAAAAAUUAGAGUGCUCAAAGCAGGCGUGACGCCUGAAUAAUGGUGCAUGGAAUAAUGGAAUAGGACCUCGGUUCUAUUUUGUUGGUUUUCGGAACACGAGGUAAUGAUUAAGAGGGACAGACGGGGGCAUUCGUAUUGCGACGCUAGAGGUGAAAUUCUUGGACCGUCGCAAGACGAACUACUG